AUGUUACAAUACUCUCCUCAUCAAAACUAUGAUUGCUCUAGUACUUAUCAUCAAAAAAGAAAACCAUUUCAUUACUACUUUCAAACAUCAUUACUAUUUAAUAUUAAAAAUUUAAACAACACCUUCAUUUUUACACCGACACUAUGGAAAGAAGCUAAGCUUUUCGAUCUACACAAAAGAUUUAAAUCAAUCACAUUUAUAACACUUUUUUUUUUCUUCUGA